rnacentral:misc_RNA from 1 species
GAUGAAGAACGUAGCGAAAUGCGAUAAGUAGUGUGAAUUGCAGAAUUCAGUGAAUCAUCGAAUCUUUGAACGCACAUUGCGCCCUUUGGUAUUCCAAAGGGCAUGCCUGUUCGAGCGUCAUUUGUACCCUCAAGCUUUGCUUGGUGUUGGGCGUCUUGUCUCUAGCUUUGCUGGAGACUCGCCUUAAAGUAAUUGGCAGCCGGCCUACUGGUUUCGGAGCGCAGCACAAGUCGCACUCUCUAUCNNCAAAGGUCUAGCAUCCAUUAAGCCUUUUUUUCAACUUUUGACCUCGGAUCAGGUAGGGAUACCCGCUGAACUUAAGCAUAUUAAUAAGCGGAGGA